AUACGUAGGGGGCGAGCGUUGUCCGGAAUGAUUGGGCGUAAAGGGCGCGUAGGCGGCGCGGUAAGUCUGGAGUGAAAGUCCUGCUUUCAAGGUGGGAAUUGCUUUGGAUACUGCCGCGCUUGAGUGCAGGAGAGGGUAUCGGAAUUCCCGGUGUAGCGGUGAAAUGCGUAGAGAUCGGGAGGAACACCAGUGGCGAAGGCGGGUAACUGGACUGCAACUGACGCUGAGGCGCGAAAGUGUGGGGAGCAAACAGGAUUAGAUACCCUGGUAGUCCACACUGUAAACGAUGAAUGCUAGGUGUAAGAGGUAUCGACCCCUUUUGUGCCGGAGUCAACACAAUAAGCAUUCCGCCUGGGGAGUACGGCCGCAAGGUUGAAACUCAAAUGAAUUGGCGGGG
rnacentral:rRNA from 1 species